rnacentral:rRNA from 1 species
CGUAUCACUUAAAGCGAUUCAGCGGGUUACGAUUGACGGAGCGAAGCGACGUCAAAGCGUAUACAAAGUCGAGUCGGUUUAAGGAUACGUUCGUUGGGUAGGGGAGCGUUCUGUAAGCCUGUGAAGGUGGCCUGUGAGGGUUGCUGGAGGUAUCAGAAGUGCGAAUGCUGACAUAAGUAACGAUAAAGCGGGUGAAAAGCCCGCUCGCCGGAAGACCAAGGGUUCCUGUCCAACGUUAAUCGGGGCAGGGUGAGUCGACCCCUAAGGCGAGGCCGAAAGGCGUAGUCGAUGGGAAACGGGUUAAUAUUCCCGUACUUGGUGUUACUGCGAAGGGGGGACGGAGAAGGCUAUGUUGGCCGGGCGACGGUUGUCCCGGUUUAAGCGUGUAGGUGUGUGUUCCAGGUAAAUCCGGUUCACUUUAACACUGAGGCGUGACGACGAGGCACUACGGUGCUGAAGCAACAAAUGCCCUGCUUCCAGGAAAAGCCUCUAAGCAUCAGGUAACAUCAAAUCGUACCCCAAACCGACACAGGUGGUCAGGUAGAGAAUACCAAGGCGCUUGAGAGAACUCGGGUGAAGGAACUAGGCAAAAUGGUGCCGUAACUUCGGGAGAAGGCACGCUGACACGUAGGUGAAGUGAUUUACUCAUGGAGCUGAAGUCAGUCGAAGAUACCAGCUGGCUGCAACUGUUUAUUAAAAACACAGCACUGUGCAAACACGAAAGUGGACGUAUACGGUGUGACGCCUGCCCGGUGCCGGAAGGUUAAUUGAUGGGGUCAGCGCAAGCGAAGCUCCUGAUCGAAGCCCCGGUAAACGGCGGCCGUAACUAUAACGGUCCUAAGGUAGCGAAAUUCCUUGUCGGGUAAGUUCCGACCUGCACGAAUGGCGUAAUGAUGGCCAGGCUGUCUCCACCCGAGACUCAGUGAAAUUGAACUCGCUGUGAAGAUGCAGUGUACCCGCGGCAAGACGGAAAGACCCCGUGAACCUUUACUAUAGCUUGACACUGAACAUUGAGCCUUGAUGUGUAGGAUAGGUGGGAGGCUUUGAAGUGUGGACGCCAGUCUGCAUGGAGCCGACCUUGAAAUACCACCCUUUAAUGUUUGAUGUUCUAACGU